rnacentral:lncRNA from 8 species
AUAUAGCUAAUGUUAGCUAGCUAAUGACAAGCUCAUCUCUGCUGCCUGAAUGCUUUCAAGUUUCUCUCGUCUGGGUUUCUUGCUGUUAGUUAGCACAUGGACAAGCAGUAGCCUACUGCAGUAGUAAGACUACACCAAUUACCAACAUUGUAUUUUUACACUGCACAAAUCAUUGAGAACAGUCAGCACUCGAAUGCUAGCCAACGAAAGUUAGUUGAUUGUAACAUUGACACUGUCUAUGUGCUGACUACAGGUUUAACAAAUGCUAGUUGAUUGUAACAUUGACACUGUGUGUGCGGACUACAGGUUUGGAGGCCACUCUAAAGAUGAACCCUCUAUCCUGACACCUCUGGAGCAGUGCUGCAGGAUCUGUCGCUCCACCCUACUGCAUCUGUCUGCUUCUCCUCUCCCUGCCCCAGUACAGUCUGUGAUGU